rnacentral:rRNA from 1 species
GUCAAGUUGUCGGCGUGCCUAUAUAUGCACUCCUGCCGACUCCUUCUUGAGUGAGCGGCGGACGGGUGAGGACACGUGGGUAAUCUGCCCAGUGUACUGGAAUAUCGCCUGUAAACUGGUGCUAUGGUCUGAGUUGCUCUUAAUAGGCCUCUCUUUUGUGGGAAAGAUGCCAUGUCAUCGCCUGUGGAGGAUCCCGCGGCGCAUUAUCUAGUUUGGAUGGGUAACGGCCCACCAAGGCGACGAUGCUUAUCCGACCUGAUAGUGUGAACGGCCUCACUGGGACUGAGACACGGGCCAGACUCCUACGGGAGGCAGCUUUAGGGAAUCUCCUGUCUUGGGCUCUAGCCUGACGGAGCAGCUCCUGCGAAGCUAAGAAGGUCUUCGGUUUGGUAAGCUUAUUUGUUCGGUAAGAGUGGGUGGGAGAGGGAAUGCUCCCAUCGAGUACGGGUCUGGUAUAGGAUUGCACGGCAAACUAGGUGGCAGCUUGCCCGGUAAU